GCUUGGUUGACUAGGGUACGAAGAUACAAAGCCAAAGACUUACUGAAAUGAAUUCAGAGAAGCUCGCUGCCUCAAAUUCGAUUUGGGAGAAACACUGCUUGUAUUUGGGGUUUUCAAUUUGUGCUUUCAGUUCAGCUUGCUCAAUUAAGGAUUUCUGAUCAGGUUGCCGAGAAGCCCAACAUAGCUCUCUCAAGCAGGCCUUCCAGUAGGCUGUGAUAUUGCUGUGUAUAUUCAAUUUUCAUGAAGAUUUUAGAGCUUCCAGGGUCCCUUAAUGCAGAACAUCUUGAUGGGGACAUACUAACAGUUCAGAUUUGAGCCUGGUAUGGACUACUUGGAAUCUCAUCCAUAUGCCGUGCAGUAUUGAAGUUUAUGCAUCAGACCACGAAAUAUGUGCAAGUAUGUUCUUUUAUGCUCUAUAGGAUUUCUGGAUAGAUUAUAAGGUUAGAAGCCUCUCUGUUUACUUACUCCACUGGUAAACUAACAGCAAUAACAACAUUGUAUAUAUAAAUUCAAAGUGGAAAUAUUUUCUGUAGAAGACUGAAGAGUUUGGAUCCAUUUUUUGGAAAUAACAUUUAUCUUCUAUAAAUCUCUAAGAAGUAUGUUUUGUAUAAAUUGUUGGAGAUAUCCUAAAUGAGCUUAGUUUAUGCUUGAAAGUU